rnacentral:lncRNA from 1 species
GGGCUUUGGAUGGUAAAGGGUUCGGGUUUGCCAAAAAAUAAUCUGAAGUGUUGCAUGGGGCCCUGAGGACCACUGAAAACCAUUUCAUGUCUUAUCACUGGUAGUUCUCUCUGCCCGUUACGGCAUCUGUGGGCCACUUUCCUAGCAACCCAAAGGAUCGUUAUGAAAAUAUGUCCUGUGUGUGAUCUGGAACACACAACUCGAUUAGACAACUAUACUCCUCUGUUAAAGGCAGCCUAUGUGGUCUUACCUCAGGAAUAGCAUUGCCCAUCAACAGCCAGGCCUUCUUACCCAGAGACAGAAAGUAAUUACACAAUAGUACUGCAUGUUCUUC